AUCUCUAAAAUUAGAGAUAAGACAAUAUAAAUAAUAUUGUUUGCUGUCUUAUUUUAUUUCAUUACAAUUAAUCUUAGGGUAUAUAUAGUAAUAACUACAAAGGUUCUUCAUAUUAGAAAUAUAAAAUAUUCAUAUUACUGGGUACCAACACAAGAACUAAAUACAUAGGUGUCAAAAAAAAAAUACAAGAACUAAAUGACACCUCAUGGAAUAUUGUAGCAAGGAGCUUCUGUAGUUUCUUGAGAACAAAAUCUAUGGAUCAUCCAUGUCCUUACAUGUACACUUGUGAGCCACACACUUCGCCUUUAAGGGAUAUGCACACAUAUAUGGUGGACAAUCGGAAUUCAUUUUACAUUUAAUAUUUACUGUGAUGAAAUAAAAAAAAAAUUAAAGAAUCAAAUAUAUAUGAAAUCAAGAAGGAAAUUAUAAAAGGAUGAUAAAAAAACAUCUUACCGGUAUUCCCUGUAACAAGGAAUAGAAAAAGAAAUAAAAUUUUUACAUAAAUAAACUUGACCAUUUUAGUCAUGUUUUUUCUUUUAAAUGUAACAAAUGGUUUAUAUAUGACUUUAUAAUUUAUAGAGUUUAUACUCUCCUUACAUUAAUUAAAUAUUUA
rnacentral:lncRNA from 1 species